GGCUACACACGUGCUACAAUGGGUAGAACAGAGAGUUGCAAAGCUGUGAAGUGGAGCUAAUCUCAGAAAACUAUUCUUAGUUCGGAUUGUACUCUGCAACUCGAGUACAUGAAGUUGGAAUCGCUAGUAGUCGCGAAUCAGCAAUGUCGCGGUGAAUACGUUCUCGGGUCUUGUACACACCGCCCGUCACACCACGAGAGUUGGUUGCACCUGAAGUAGCAGGCCUAACCGUAAGGAGGGAUGCUCCGAGGGUGUGAUUAGCGAUUGGGGUGAAGUCGUAACAAGGUAUCCGUACGGGAACGU
rnacentral:rRNA from 1 species